AUUGGGCCCGAGUUUGAUCCUGGCUCAGAACGAACGCUGGCGGCAGGCUUAACACAUGCAAGUCGAGCGCCCCUCACGGGGAGCGGCAGACGGGUGAGUAACGCGUGGGAAUCUACCCAUCUCUACGGAAUAACUCAGGGAAACUUGUGCUAAUACCGUAUACGCCCUUCGGGGGAAAGAUUUAUCGGAGAUGGAUGAGCCCGCGUUGGAUUAGCUAGUUGGUGGGGUAAAGGCCUACCAAGGCGACGAUCCAUAGCUGGUCUGAGAGGAUGAUCAGCCACAUUGGGACUGAGACACGGCCCAAACUCCUACGGGAGGCAGCAGUGGGGAAUAUUGGACAAUGGGCGCAAGCCUGACGACGCAACGCCGCGUGGAGGAUGAAGACCUUCGGGUCGUAAACUCCUUUCGAUCGAGACGAAUGGUUUCCGGGUGAACAAUCCGGGAAAAUGACGGUACCGAGAGAAGAAGCCCCGGCUAACUCCGUGCCAGCAGCCGCGGUUA
rnacentral:rRNA from 1 species